GUCCUGAUAGCUUAACUAAAGCACUGGUCUUGUAAACCAGAGACUGCAGCAUAACCCUCUGCUCAAGACU
rnacentral:tRNA from 1 species